AAAUUAAUUGCGAAGAGAAAUUUUCUUCUCUUUAAUUUAACAUUUUUCAUUUUCCAUUUUCUUUUCUAAAUCAAAAUCGAUAAUCGAUUAAUCAAAAAGAAAAGAACAAAAAAUUAUCCAAUCAAAAGUGUGUUUACAUUUUCUCUCAACAAUUUAACUGUUUACGAAAUUUUUUCCAAUCUAAUUAAUUAAUUUCUUCGUUCAAUUAAUUUCUCAACAAUUACAAUUAACACCCUGAGAGAUGGUCAAGGAUUAAUUGUUGUUUCUUCUUUGGGUUAAUUUAUUCACUUCGCUUCAAUUGUUAUUGUUUUUAGUUGGUUGAUUCUGUUGUUUGUUUUAUGCAAAAUUUUGUUAACCAGUUUUUUUUUGUUUCUUCUGUUUUUAUUAUCAUUUCUGUUGAUUGUUUCAUGUAACUGUUAUUAUUUUCAUUUCCAUGAUGAGAUUUUCUUUUACUCAACGUGUAUGAUAUUCAAACAUCCGAAUCAUUGGUCUUUCUCUCUUAAUCUCAUACAUUUACCAUUUCCACUCUAAUCAACUUCGGUCUGUCAGUGAUGGUGAGAAACAUAAUCAACCACCAUCACCAAGGAAAAUCAACAUGCCUGAACCAAGUAGCUUUCAUUUAUCAUUUAUUAUAUCAUCAUCAUCAUCAUCAUCAUCUCAACAUUUGUAUAUUAUGUCACCUAAAUAAUCAAAUAACGGAAUGGAUUAAGUUUACUGGGUGAAACGAAAUGAAAAAAAACAAAAGGAGAAAAAAAUUAGAGUAAACACUUUUGUUUUCUCGCCCAAAAUUCAGCUGAUUAUCUUGAAAUUGCAACAAUUAUUCAAAUGAUUUACAGUUAUGCUUAUCUAUUAUUCAAUUGCAACAUCUAAACAGCCUUAAGCCAAUUUGUGAUUGUGUUUAAAAGUGAUAAGUGGUUUAGGAAGUAUUUAACUGACCACUUUUUCAUACUGACAAAUCACAAAACCAAACCAUUUAUUACAAUUAUCCUGUUUUUAGUAACACUUUCUAAAUAUUGUUACUUUUUGUUUCACCAACACCAACAAUUAACAUCAUCUUUAUCAUUAUCGACACAAUUACAGUCCCAAAACUGUUGCAACAACAAUUAGAGUAUAUAAAUCUAAUUGGAAUCACUAUCAUCAUCAUCAUCAUUUAUGAAUUAACCUAAUUGUACAUUGGCCAACCCCUCACCUCAAGGCAACAACAACAACAACAACUACAAAUCAACAAUCAACAAUUAACCAUUAAUCGUAUUGGUCAACCCUGUGCCUGGUUGAUUUUAAUUCACCUUUUCAAAGCAAAUUAAUUAUAUUAUCUCUCUGACCUCUUGUUUAA